GUGUCAGCCGCCGCGGUAAUACGUAGGGUGCAAGCGUUAAUCGGAAUUACUGGGCGUAAAGCGUGCGCAGGCGGUUUUGUAAGUCUGUCGUGAAAUCCCCGGGCUCAACCUGGGAAUUGCGAUGGAGACUGCAAGGCUAGAAUCUGGCAGAGGGGGGUAGAAUUCCACGUGUAGCAGUGAAAUGCGUAGAGAUGUGGAGGAACACCGAUGGCGAAGGCAGCCCCCUGGGUCAAGAUUGACGCUCAUGCACGAAAGCGUGGGGAGCAAACAGGAUUAGAUACCCUGGUAGUCCACGCCCUAAACGAUGUCUACUAGUUGUCGGGUUUUAAUUAACUUGGUAACGCAGCUAACGCGUGAAGUAGACCGCCUGGGGAGUACGGUCGCAAGAUUAAAACUCAAAGGAAUUGACGGGG
rnacentral:rRNA from 1 species